rnacentral:rRNA from 1 species
AGAGUUUGAUCCUGGCUCAGGAUGAACGCUGGCGGUAUGCUUAACACAUGCAAGUCGAACGAAUCCCUUCGGGGAUGAGUGGCGGACGGGUGAGUAACGCGUGAGAAUUUACCAAAAGGACUGGGACAACCACUGGAAACGGUGGCUAAUACCGGAUGAGCCGAAAAGUAAAAAGGGAAACCUGCCUUUUGAAGAGCUCGCGUCUGAUUAGCUAGUUGGUGAGGUAAGAGCUCACCAAGGCAGCGAUCAGUAGCUGGUCUGAGAGGAUGACCAGCCACACUGGGACUGAGACACGGCCCAGACUCCUACGGGAGGCAGCAGUGGGGAAUUUUCCGCAAUGGGCGAAAGCCUGACGGAGCAAUACCGCGUGAGGGAAGAAGGCUCUUGGGUCGUAAACCUCUUUUAUCAGGGAAGAAAAAAAUGACGGUACCUGAAGAAUCAGCCUCGGCUAACUCCGUGCCAGCAGCCGCGGUAAUACGGAGGAGGCAAGCGUUAUCCGGAAUUAUUGGGCGUAAAGCGUCCGCAGGUGGCUUAUCAAGUCUGCUGUCAAAGAGUGGGGCUUAACCCCAUUAAGGCAGCGGAAACUGAGAAGCUAGAGUGCCGUAGGGGUAGAGGGAAUUCCCGGUGUAGCGGUGAAAUGCGUAGAGAUCGGGAAGAACAUCGGUGGCGAAAGCGCUCUACUGGACGGCAACUGACACUCAGGGACGAAAGCUAGGGGAGCGAAUGGGAUUAGAUACCCUAGUAGUCC